rnacentral:rRNA from 1 species
AGUGAACGCUGGCGGCAUGCCUAACACAUGCAAGUCGAACGGCAGCACAGUAAGAGCUUGCUCUUACGGGUGGCGAGUGGCGGACGGGUGAGGAAUACAUCGGAAUCUACUUUUUCGUGGGGGAUAACGUAGGGAAACUGACGCUAAUACCGCAUACGACCUACGGGUGAAAGCAGGGGAUCUUGGGACCUUGCGCGACUGAAUUAGCCGAUGUCGGAUUAGCUAGUUGGCGGGGUAAAGGCCCACCAAGGCGACGAUCCGUAGCUGGUCUGAGAGGAUGAUCAGCCACACUGGAACUGAGACACGGUCCAGACUCCUACGGGAGGCAGCAGUGGGGAAUCUUGGGCAAUGGGCGAAAGCCUGACCCAGCCAUACCGCGUGGGUGAAGAAGGCCUUCGGGUUGUAAAGCCCUUUUGUUGGGAAAGAAAAGCAGCAGGUUAAUACCCCGCUGUUCUGACGGUACCCAAAGAAUAAGCACCGGCUAACUUCGUG